GAUGAACGCUAGCGACAGGCUUAACACAUGCAAGUCGAGGGGCAGCAUAAAAGUAGCAAUACUUUGGUGGCGACCGGCGCACGGGUGAGUAACGCGUAUGCAACCUACCUAUCAGAGGGGGAUAACCCGGCGAAAGUCGGACUAAUACCGCAUAAAACAGGGGCACCGCAUGGUGAUAUUUGUUAAAAAUUUAUUGCUGAUAGAUGGGCAUGCGUUCCAUUAGGUAGUUGGAGAGGUAACGGCUCACCAAGCCAACGAUGGAUAGGGGAACUGAGAGGUUGGUCCCCCACACUGGUACUGAGACACGGACCAGACUCCUACGGGAGGCAGCAGUGAGGAAUAUUGGUCAAUGGGCGAGAGCCUGAACCAGCCAAGUCGCGUGAAGGAAGAAGGAUCUAUGGUUCGUAAACUUCUUUUGCAGGGGAAUAAAGUGCAGGACGUGUCCUGUUUUGUAUGUACCCUGAGAAUAAGGAUCGGCUAACUCCGUGCCAGCAGCCGCGGUAAAG
rnacentral:rRNA from 1 species